ACCAGACUCCUACGGGAGGCAGCAGUGGGGAAUAUUGCACAAUGGGGGAAACCCUGAUGCAGCGACGCCGCGUGAGUGAAGAGGUAUUUCGGUAUGUAAAGCUCUAUCAGCAGGAACGAGACAAGACGGUACCUGACUAAGAAGCCCCGGCUAACUACGCGCCAGCAGCCGCGGUAAUACGUAGGGGGCAAGCGUUAUCCGGAAUCACUGGGUGUAAAGGGAGCGUAGACGGCUGUGCAAGCCUGAAGUGAAAGGCGGGGGCCCAACCCCUGGACUGCUUUGGGAACUGUACGGCUGGAGUGCAGGAGAGGUAAGUGGAAUUCCUAGUGUAGCGGUGAAAUGCGUAGAUAUUAGGAGGAACACCAGUGGCGAAGGCGGCUUACUGGACUGUAACUGACGUUGAGGCUCGAAAGCGUGGGGAGCAAACAGGAUUAGAUACCCCCGUAC
rnacentral:rRNA from 1 species